rnacentral:rRNA from 1 species
GUGCCAGCCGCCGCGGUAAUACGGAGGAUGCAAGCGUUAUCCGGAUUCAUUGGGUUUAAAGGGUGCGCAGGCGGGCUAAUAAGUCAGGGGUGAAAUACUACGGCUCAACCGUGGAACUGCCUUUGAUACUGUUAGUCUUGAGUAUAGUUGAAGUGGGCGGAAUGUAGCAUGUAGCGGUGAAAUGCAUAGAGAUGCUACAGAACACCGAUAGCGAAGGCAGCUCACUAAGUUAGUACUGACGCUCAUGCACGAAAGCGUGGGGAUCAAACAGGAUUAGAUACCCUGGUAGUCCACGCUGUAAACGAUGAUCACUCGUUGUUGGCGAUACACAGUCAGCGGCUAAGCGAAAGUGAUAAGUGAUCCACCUGGGGAGUACGAUCGCAAGGUUGAAACUCAAAGGAAUUGACGGGGGCCCGCACAAGCGGUGGAGCAUGUGGUUUAAUUCGAUGAUACGCGAGGAACCUUACCUGGGCUCAAAUGCAAGUUGACGUAUGGUGAAAGCCGUAUUUCUUCGGACAAUUUGCAAGGUGCUGCAUGGUUGUCGUCAGCUCGUGCCGUGAGGUGUCGGGUUAAGUCCCAUAACGAGCGCAACCCCUAUUCUUAGUUGCCAUCAGGUCAAGCUGGGGACUCUAGGAAAACUGCCUACGCAAGUAGAGAGGAAGGUGGGGAUGACGUCAAAUCAGCACGGCCCUUACGUCCAGGGCUACACACGUGCUACAAUGGCCAGUACAAAGGGCAGCUACCUGGUGACAGGAUGCUAAUCUCAAAAGCUGGUCUCAGUUCGGAUCGAAGUCUGCAACUCGACUUCGUGAAGCUGGAAUCGCUAGUAAUCGCGCAUCAGCCAUGGCGCGGUGAAUACGUUCCCGGGCCUUGUACACACCGCCCGUCAAGCCAUGGAAGCUGGGGGUACCUGAAGUCGGUGACCGUAAAAGGAGCUGCCUAGGGUAAACUUGGUAACUGGGGCUAAGUCGUAACAAGGUAACC